rnacentral:rRNA from 1 species
GCGCAGCAGGCGCGAAACUUUACAAUGUGCGAAAGCACGAUAAGGGAACUCUGAGUGCCUCCUAAGGGGCUGUUCAGGUGUCUAAAAGCACCUGGAGUAAGGGCUGGGUAAGACCGGUGCCAGCCGCCGCGGUAACACCGGCAGCCCAGGUGGUAGCCACUUUUAUUGGGUCUAAAGCGUCCGUAGCCGGUUGAGUAAGUUCCUUGGGAAAUUUGGCUGCUCAACAGUCAAGCUUCCAGGGAAUACUGCUCGACUUGGGACUGGGAGAGGUCAGAGGUACUCCAGGGGUAGGGUGAAAUCCAUUAAUCCCUGGGGGACCACCGGUAGCGAAGGCGUCUGACCAGACCAGGUCCGACGGUGAGGGACGAAGGCUAGGGUCGCGAACCGGAUUAGAUACCC